rnacentral:rRNA from 1 species
CCUACGGGGGGCAGCAGUGGGGGAUAUUGCACAAUGGAGGAAACUCUGAUGCAGCGACGCCGCGUGAGGGAAGACGGUCUUCGGAUUGUAAACCUCUGUCUUUGGGGAAGAAAAUGACGGUACCCAAAGAGGAAGCUCCGGCUAACUACGUGCCAGCAGCCGCGGUAAUACGUAGGGAGCGAGCGUUGUCCGGAAUUACUGGGUGUAAAGGGAGCGUAGGUGGGCGCUUAAGUCAGGUGUGAAAACUCCGGGCUCAACCUGGAGACUGCACUUGAAACUGUGUGUCUUGAGGGCAGGAGAGGAAG